rnacentral:hammerhead_ribozyme from 2 species
AGCCGAAACGGGGUGAAAGCCCUGUCCGCUGGGGAUGGCCUCCUCGCGCUGAUGAUGGCAGGCCAAC